rnacentral:misc_RNA from 1 species
GAUGAAGAACGCAGCGAAAUGCGAUAAGUAAUGUGAAUUGCAGAAUUCAGUGAAUCAUCGAAUCUUUGAACGCACAUUGCGCCCCCUGGUAUUCCGGGGGGCAUGCCUGUCCGAGCGUCAUUACAACCCUCAAGCUCAGCUUGGUGUUGGGCCCCGCCGCCCCGGCGGGCCCUAAAGUCAGUGGCGGUGCCGUCCGGCUCCGAGCGUAGUAAUUCUUCUCGCUAUAGGGUUCCGGAGGGAUGCUGGCCAACAACCCCCAACUUUUAAGGUUGACCUCGGAUCAGGUAGGGAUACCCGCUGAACUUAAGCAUAUCAAUAAGCGGAGGA